rnacentral:rRNA from 1 species
GACAGAGGGUGCAAACGUUGUUCGGAAUUACUGGGCGUAAAGCGCGUGUAGGCUGCUCUGCAAGUCGGAUGUGAAAGCCCUGGGCUCAACCUAGGAAGUGCAUUCGAAACUGCAGAGCUGGAGUCCUGGAGAGGAAGGCGGAAUUCUCGGUGUAGAGGUGAAAUUCGUAGAUAUCGAGAGGAACACCGGUGGCGAAGGCGGCCUUCUGGACAGUGACUGACGCUGAAACGCGAAAGUCAGGGGAGCGAACAGG